ensembl:Mt_tRNA
GGCUUUGUAGUGAAAUUUCAUGUCGGAUUGCAAAUUCGAAGAAGUAGAUUAGAUCUGCCGGGGCUU